UGGGGAAUAUUGCACAAUGGGCGCAAGCCUGAUGCAGCAACGCCGCGUGCGGGAUGACGGCCUUCGGGUUGUAAACCGCUUUCAGUAGGGACGAAGCUAACGUGACGGUACCUACAGAAGAAGGACCGGCUAACUACGUGCCAGCAGCCGCGGUGAUACGUAGGGUCCGAGCGUUGUCCGGAAUUAUUGGGCGUAAAGGGCUUGUAGGCGGUCCGUCGCGUCAGGAGUGAAAACUCGGGGCUUAACCCCGAGCCUGCUUUUGAUACGGGCGGACUAGAGGGAUGCAGGGGAGAACGGAAUUCCUGGUGGAGCGGUGGAAUGCGCAGAUAUCAGGAGGAACACCGGUGGCGAAGGCGGUUCUCUGGGCAUCACCUGACGCUGAGAAGCGAAAGCGUGGGGAGCAAACAGG
rnacentral:rRNA from 1 species